rnacentral:lncRNA from 1 species
AAAUCCCAACUCAACAUGGAGGGCUUAAACGUGACAAUGAUCCUGAUUUUUCGUCUAAAGGUGGUGCUGCUAUGGAGCCGAGUGUAAAAAAACAAAUCUGUCAAAACGACGUAGUUUGGAAGACUGUACACAAAUAAAAUAUACACAACUAAGAAAGUAUUUUGGUAUGGGAGUUGUGUGUGUUAGGUUGGGAAGUGAAGUAUGAAGAAGA